CCUACGGGUGGCUGCAGUGGGGAAUAUUGGGCAAUGGGCGCAAGCCUGACCCAGCAACGCCGCGUGAAGGAAGAAGGCUUUCGGGUUGUAAACUUCUUUUCUCAGGGACGAAGCAAGUGACGGUACUUGAGGAAUAAGCCACGGCUAACUACGUGCCAGCAGCCGCGGCAAUACGGAGGUGGCAAGCGUUAUCCGGAUUUACUGGGUGUAAAGGGCGUGUAGGCGGGAAAGCAAGUCAGAUGUGAAAACCAGGGGCUCAACCUGUGGACUGCAUUUGAAACUGUUUGUCUUGAGUGCUGGAGAGGCAGACGGAAUUCCUGGUGUAGCGGUGAAAUGCGUAGAUAUUAGGAGGAACACCGGUGGCGAAGGCGGUCUGCUGGACAGCAACUGACGCUGAGGCGCGAAAGCGUGGGGAGCAAACAGGAUUAGAUACCCGGGUAGUC
rnacentral:rRNA from 1 species